UACAGAGGGUGCAAGCGUUGUCCGGAAUUAUUGGGCGUAAAGGGCUCGUAGGCGGCCAACUAAGUCAGACGUGAAAUCCCUCGGCUUAACCGGGGAACUGCGUCUGAUACUGGAUGGCUCGAGUUUGGGAGAGGGAUGCGGAAUUCCAGGUGUAGCGGUGAAAUGCGUAGAUAUCGGGAGGAAUACCAGUGGCGAAGGCGGCUUCCUGGCCUGUUCUUGACGCUGAGGCGCGAAAGCUAGGGUAGCAAACGGG
rnacentral:rRNA from 1 species